rnacentral:lncRNA from 1 species
CUUAGGAGUUAUUCCUGCAAAAGACUUUCCCAAGCCCAUGAAAGUGGCAUACUGCACUGUGGAUAUCCACACACAGAAUGUGAAUAAACUUUUGGCUCGACUCAGAACCAAAAUCUGGGAUUCAAAACUGAGAACUAGAAGGUUCUGGAUCAAAGUAAGAAUGUGAAGGGACAGUGCAUCAUCAUGAUGAUCACUCUUGCCUUGACUAAGGCCAUUAAAGUGGCCAAUUUUAAGGCUCUCUCUGGAAUCAACGAAGAGACCUUCAAGAUACUUUCAGAUCCUAAUUCCACGUCUGGAAUGACCGAUAGCUUCAGUGAUUUGCCCCCUGCAAAGAGGUAUGAACUGGUAAGACUUGCCAAUAAGAAUUGGAAUUCCAGAAGUGCCACUGGACCUUCUGAUGUCCAGCCUUUGAUGGGGGGCAUGGAAGUUUGCCCACCUUAGGCACCUAUACUGUUAUGGGUCUGAGGGUGAUCCAAAUUAACCUCCAACAUUCCUGAGCUGCUUCUGCUCCUUUGG